rnacentral:rRNA from 1 species
UACGUAGGGGGCAAGCGUUGUCCGGAUUUAUUGGGCGUAAAGAGCGUGUAGGCGGCCAGGGAGGUCCGUUGUGAAAACUCGAGGCUCAACCUCGAGACGCCGAUGGAAACCCCCUGGCUAGAGUCCGGAAGAGGAGAGUGGAAUUCCUGGUGUAGCGGUGAAAUGCGCAGAUAUCAGGAGGAACACCGGUGGCGAAGGCGGAUCUCUGGGCCAUUACUGACGCUGAGGAGCGAAAGCGUGGGGAGCGAACAGG